UUAUAAUUGCUUUUAACUUUAUUUAUCGACAUACAUAAUAAACUAGGUACACCGAUGUUACUAUAUGUGUUAACCAUUAUAAUGCAUUACGAGUAAAUGUGUAUACAAUAGCAAGUGCCGAGGAAAGUCUCGAUAUUUUCAUCGAUUUAUACUUAUAUACUUAUGGCAAACUUACACAUAUUUAUUGCGAGGCGGACAAAUAAAACGUUUAUGGAACACCGGCAGUUUUGGUAUACGGGCGCAAAAACAAGUAAUAGGUACCAGCUAUACAAUAAUAUUGUUGUUUCAUUAUUUGUAAUUUUAAUCGCAU